rnacentral:rRNA from 1 species
UGGCGGACGGGUGAGGAAUACAUCGGAAUCUACUCUGUCGUGGGGGAUAACGUAGGGAAACUUACGCUAAUACCGCAUACGACCUACGGGUGAAAGCAGGGGAUCUUCGGACCUUGCGCGAUUGAAUGAGCCGAUGUCGGAUUAGCUAGUUGGCGGGGUAAAGGCCCACCAAGGCGACGAUCCGUAGCUGGUCUGAGAGGAUGAUCAGCCACACUGGAACUGAGACACGGUCCAGACUCCUACGGGAGGCAGCAGUA